CACACACACCCCUCCCACCAAAGCCCAUCAGGACAUUCACAAAACCAGAAGGCGUUCAGCACAUCAGUCUGACAAGAGCUUUCAAAAUUACUUUGAACCACUGAACUUUGCACCUUGCUCCAGCAUCCAGAAAAUACAAACAGGAGUCUCUGUGGAAGGUGUAACUACAUGUAAUAUGAACUUUUUUAAUGAACUAUUUUUUUUAAAUAAAUAACAAGAUGUGCAUAUCUAAAAGAGUGACUCUACAGCACUUCAAGUAGAUCUUGCCAAUUACUUAGUAGUUGAUAGAAUCAUAGAAUCAAUGA